ensembl:lncRNA
CCUCCCCUCCCCCUGCUCCUGCUACGUGCAGGGUAGGGCUGGGGCAGCACCAGCAGCAAUUAGCCCAGCUCAGCCACCCGUUACUGGAACCUUCGUGUCAACUCUGGAGCUGAUCCAGGAAACCACACCCAGAGUCCCGGAUGACUCAGCCUCACCUGCCCACUCCACACCUGCCAGCCCCAGUGACCCGAGCCCGGCCGGAGCGAGAGCCCCAGCGUCCCCUGACCCGUCCUCCUCGGCCCGACCUGAACUGUGUCUUCUCAGGACCCUGUGGAGUCACUCACCUGCCCGGCAUCCCUCUGAGGCGUCCGCAGUGCUCACCGCGUCUGCUCAGGUUCUCCAUUUGUUCGUGCUCAUUCACUUUUCCACUAGAACCUUUAACGUCUGACAACCUUUGUGUCCAGGAACGUGUAUCCAACCAGUAUCCAAGAACCUGGUUCUAUUGGUAACUUGGCUUCUUGACAGUGAGGUGUUUGUCGUUUGAUUUUGUGUGUAUGUCUCAUGAUUUUUUAUUAAAUGCUCUGCAUCUGCGCUGAUGUUGUUCCGUCCCCACGUCGUGUCAGCUCUGUGCGGCCCCGUGGACUGAGGCGCUCCGGGCCGCCCUGCCCUUCACCGUCUGUGAGACCCCGUGGACUGAGGCGCUCCGGGCCGCCCUGCCCUUCACCGUCUGUGAGACCCCGUGGACUGAGGCGCUCCGGGCCGCCCUGCCCUUCACCGUCUGUGCAGCCCCGUGGACUGAGGCGCUCCGGGCCGCCCUGCCCUUCACCGUCUGUGCGGCCCCGUGGACUGAGGCGCUCCGGGCCGCCCUGCCCUUCACCGUCUGUGAGACCCCGUGGACUGAGGCGCUCCGGGCCGCCCUGUCCUUCACCGUCGCCCAGGGUUUGCUCAAGUUCACGUCCACUGAUGGCAUCUGACCGUCUCAACCUCCGUCGCCUGCUUCUCCUCCCGCCUUCAAUCCUUCCCAGCAUCAGGGUCUUUUCUAAUGAGUCGGCUCUUCACAUCAGGUGGCCAAAGUGUUGGAGCUUCAGCUUCAGCAUCAGUCCUUCCCGUCAAUAUUCAGGGUUGAUUUCCUUUAGGAUGGACUGGUUGGGUCUCCUUGCAGCCCAGGGGACAUCUGUGUAGAACCGUGGAGACUGAGAUAAACAGCACAUGUGGCCAGUUAUGGGUGUGCCUCUUCUACUAGGCUGUGUGUGUGUGUGUGUGCGCGCGCGCGUGGACCCCC